ensembl:lncRNA
CUGCUUCUCUGUGAAAGACACUCCGCUUCCAACUGCCAGGAGUACAUCUUAAAGAUCCAGGCACCCCAGGAGAAUGACUCACUUUCACUGGGUUCCACUUCACAGUUCCCAAGGAAAGGACUUUGAAGGGCCCAAUGAGUCAGGCACCCAAGGCAGACCAAUCACCGAGACCCAUAGUCAAGACUGCAUGUUCCCACAUGUUACCAAAUGGCACUGAGCUAAGGAAGGAUAUCUGGUUUCAGAUCAAAAGCAUCCAGAAAGCAGCCUCUACAAGAAAGCAGCAGUUGUGGAAUCUGGCCAGUUGGAAAGAAUGGGUUGGCAAGACGGGACAUCUGAACCCAGCUCUAUACCCACGUGGCUGGUGUGUGAGCAGGUUUCUGCCUGUUUCUGGGACGAAGCUGCACCUCUGCCCUGAUUCUUGGGACUUCAGUCUCAGGAGAAGUGACAACAGCCAAGAACUGAAAAAAUGAAUUUUAGCAAUCAGGUCGACUUAAUUUGAGCUCAUCAGAUGCCAGUGCAGUAAAGGUUGACAGCUAGGCACUGCAGAAAGAGGGACGGAGGAGGCCAGCAUAGCUGUUUCAGAGUAUGAGCAGAGGCGAGUGGAAGCUGCUGCCUGGAUUGGCCAGGCCUGGGGAAGGGAG